rnacentral:misc_RNA from 1 species
UAAAAGACGAUGAUUAGGAAAAGUAUCUUAGAUAUUAUUUUUAGAGAGUAGCUGGCUGGUGUAAAGCUAUAAUAAAUCUUAGAGAAAAUCACCUAGGAGUUGGAGGCUGAAAGGCGCAAUGCCGAAUAAGUUAUCACGUAAGAGCCUGCGUUAAAGGA